GUCGAUACUCCCACACCCUCGGAAAACACCACUGUUUUUUUUCUGUCUCGUAGCAUCUCCGGAACUCCCGUUCAAAACUCCGGCUAUCGAUCACAGAUUUCUUCUAAGAAACAGGGGAAAUAGCAACCCACAUGCGUGGAACGGCUGCGUUAUUGCCCGUGAAGAAUAAAUUCAUUCGCAUGUAUCCCGUAAAAACAUCAUAUGUUGCUAGUUUGACACCGAAGAAGGUAGAAGAUGACGAUUUUGAGAAGAAAGGAGAGAUGAAGAAGGAAGGCGAUCCAAUUGUUACGUUCAGUACGCCGCCACCACAGAUUCCACCGGUCCUCGGACCGAUUGUUCUAAUAUCGCUCUGGGAAGCAUCGUCCGAUGACAAGUGAGAAAUUAAGGUGAUGUUUUUGAAUCAAGAAACUGGUUUGGUUCUCUUGUCUUUGCAAUUUGGAGUGAUGUUGAGCUGAAACUAGAAUCUUGAUGACUCGAAGUCUACUAUAAAAAUACUUCGUUAUAAUAAUAGUGUUCAUCUGUUGAAAUUCAAUGGAUUUCU